UACGAAGGGGGCUAGCGUUGCUCGGAAUCACUGGGCGUAAAGGGUGCGUAGGCGGGUCUUUAAGUCAGGGGUGAAAUCCUGGAGCUCAACUCCAGAACUGCCUUUGAUACUGACGAUCUCGAGUCCGGGAGAGGUGAGUGGAACUGCGAGUGUAGAGGUGAAAUUCGUAGAUAUUCGCAAGAACACCAGUGGCGAAGGCGGCUCACUGGCCCGGUACUGACGCUGAGGUGCGAAAGCGUGGGGAGCAAACAGG
rnacentral:rRNA from 1 species